GAUGAACGCUGGCGGCGUGCCUAAUACAUGCAAGUCGAGCGAAUGGAUUAAGAGCUUGCUCUUAUGAAGUUAGCGGCGGACGGGUGAGUAACACGUGGGUAACCUGCCCAUAAGACUGGGAUAACUCCGGGAAACCGGGGCUAAUACCGGAUAACAUUUUGAACCGCAUGGUUCGAAAUUGAAAGGCGGCUUCGGCUGUCACUUAUGGAUGGGCCCGCGUCGCAUUAGCUAGUUGGUGAGGUAACGGCUCACCAAGGCAACGAUGCGUAGCCGACCUGAGAGGGCGAUCGGCCACACUGGGACUGAGACACGGCCCAGACUCCUACGGGAGGCAGCAGUAGGGAAUCUUCCGCAAUGGACGAAAGUCUGACGGAGCAACGCCGCGUGAGUGAUGAAGGCUUUCGGGUCGUAAAACUCUGUUGUUAGGGAAGAACAAGUGCUAGUUGAAUAAGCUGGCACCUUGACGGUACCUAACCAGAAAGCCACGGCUAACUACGUGCCAGCAGCCGCCGUAA
rnacentral:rRNA from 1 species